GAUGGUUUGGGUGAGGCAGUUGUGGGAUGAUUUGUAUGGGGUUUGGGUGGGGUAGUUGAGAAAGAGAGAUGCAGAGAUUUGAGGGAAGGAGAGAGAAAGGGUUUGAGUUAUGAGAGGGGUAUUUUUGGGGUUUUGAAAAAAGUGUCAUAUUUUUUUUAAUUUAAAAUGUAUUGGUUUAAGAAUAAAAUAUUAAAGUUUUUUAAAUAUAGAAAAUCAAAUUUCCUUUUAGUUUUUACCCAAUAAAUAAAUAAUGAAAAAAAAAAGUGAAGGAAAGUACUUUCUAUAAAUUUGAUAAGAUAGUUUCUAAAAAUAUUUAUGCAAUUUUCUAAAUUUCAAAAUUACUCUAACCUUUUUUUUUUUAAAAAAAAAAAAUGGCAGUAAACGAAAAAUUUUAAGCUGUAAAUCUCAUUUUAAUUGGGUAUAAUUUGCUGAGAAAUACUGUUACAGAUCAUGUUGAUGUAUAAUUUGUAUACAAAGCCGAGCAAGCUUAGUUGUGCGUUCUAACCGAUCCUUACAAAACCCAAUCGGCUAAGUUACUGAUUCUUACCAAGCCUUACAAAGCCCAACAGGCGAAGUUGCGCGUUCUUACCAAGUAUACCAAGGCCAGCCCAACUCCAAGGUUGGAAAAGGGUAGGGUAGGGUGUUGUUAAUAUUAAGAGUAUUCGCGGUGCAAGUGGUACGGUUUUUUAUUAUUUUUUCAAACCAACCUGUACAUACGGUUUUUUUUUAAUUUUCCAAACCGAAUUAAAAAAUCGCAAAAACUGCACCGCAAAAAAUAGUGCGAUGUGGUGCGGUUUUUGCGGUUUGGACUAUCAUUAAUAAUUAAACUAUCACAAAUACAAUAAAACUUGAACAACACUUGUCAAAAAUAUCAUAAGACUUGAAAAUAAAUAUGAAAAAAAAAAAUUUAAUAACAUAAUAAUUAGUGGGAUUUGGGUUGGACAUUCACAUAUUGGACUUAAAUAAAUAUAAAAAUGGGAAAUUCACAUGGUAUAUUAACUUUUGCCAUUUUUUUUACAAAAAUACUGUCAGGUGGUAUUUUUUUACUUCUUUAAUGUGUUUUUUUAUAAGUUUCAUACUGCAGUAUACUGUGUUAAGUUUCAUUGGUGUUCUACUAGUGUUUUUUAGUUGUUCUACUGUUGUUUUGAGUUGUUCUGCUUUGUAUUUUACUAGUGUUUUAUAAAAACACAGUAUUUUUUAAAAGAUUUCCGUGUGAUAGUAUUUUUGUAAAAGUUAACUCAAAUUCUAGUAUUUUUGUAAAUUUUCUUAUAAAAAUUGGUAUUUAUAUAAUGUGCGAUGCGGUGCGGUUUGAGCUGCAUAUUAACUAUUCAAAAUUGCAAACCGCACCGCACCGCGCAGUUUAGGAAAAAUUCAAACCGCGGCCGCAUCACAAAUAAUUUCAAACCGUAUUUUUUUUUUGGGUGCAGUGUGGUGCGGGCGGUUUGAGCAGUUUAAGCGGUUUGAUGAACCCCUAAUUAAUAUUAAUUUUUAUUUAUUUUAAUUAAAAUUACAUAACUUCCUAGCUUGUUUUCUAUAUUUUUAUAUGAAAUGAGCUCCUAUUGAUAUUAACCGCUUGAAUAUAAUUCAAUUUAAAAAUGUUUAAAAAUUAUCACUAACUAAUUACGGCUAGGCUGCCCUAUCAAUGCGCCACUUUUAAUCCUUCUUAUUUCAAGGUUAAACACAUUAUAUUCAAGUUUUUUUUUUUAUUUUUGAAAGAGAAGAUUAGUUAAAAUUCGCCAGAAUGAUAUGACAAUUGACCUCAAAUUGAUUUAUAAAUGGAAAUGAAAAUUUUGGGCUCAACUUAGAGCAUUUUCAGGGUUAAUUUAUUUUAUAUUAUUAUUCUUUUUUUAAUCAUUCAGAAUCCCAAUUCCCUUUUCAAAUCUCAACUCUGUCUACCUUUCUCUCGAGGAGUGCCUCCAAUGGCGUCGGCGUAACGCGAAGCUUCCAUCACUGAUGACGAAGAACUGAAGCCCAAGCACUGUGCAGAUUUCAUUCCCGCAGACUACCUCAGAUUGAAAGCAGUGGACUACAAGGAUAUCUGGAUGCGCAUAAUGCAAGUGAAAAGAGGUGUUACUGUUUGCGUGUUCGCUGCUAUGCUGAUUUUCUAAUGUUGGCAAAAUUAUGUCCCUCCAGGCUCUAGCAUAUUGAGAUGGAGAACACUGCCCCUGACUCUACAGGACAUGAUCUAGUGGGAAAGUGGAGGCACAAGAAAAUUUUCAUAUGCCGGAAAAGGUUAUGGCGAUGACUUUGGAGUUUGCCAUACAAUUGUCUGCAGUACUGUUUUUCUUGAAGAAAGACCAUUUGCUUCCAUUGGUUCAAGAAAAGGGUUGGGUGAAUCAAAUAAAUCUGAUGCUUGUCCUCGUCCAACAGGGAUAAGAGUAGCAAAUUUCUGCAUGCAAAAGCAACAAUGGAAACAGCAUUAUUCCUCACAUUUUGCGUUUAAAAAAAUGUUUUGUCCAUAAGUUCAGUGUUGAAGAUAGACUGAUCCCUGAAGGAGAUUUUGAGGAUUAGAUGCUAUAAUGGGGUCCAUUUUUUCUGAUAUUAUUAUAAAUUUCGAAAUGAUAAUGAUGGUGGGCUUGCUAGCAUCAGAAGAUGAAUAUCUUUAUUGGUUCCAGGGCUUUCGCGUAGAAGUAAGAUAACUAAUUUGAUCGCCUGAGACAACUUGUAUAUUGAAAUUCCAUAUGUUAAGAGCCACCAAUACUCUAUGCAAUUAUGUAAUUGACCAGACAAAUGUAUCUAAGAAUGCUAGUAAACCUGGAAGAUAACCUAUUUGACCAUAUUAUGUACACGAAUCUCUCCAAAUAUGCAAAGGAGAAAAAAAAAUUGCAAUAUCCUCCAUGGUCAAAGUUAUGGGAUUUCUGUUGUAACUAAUUCCGUGUUAUGUCUAAAUCUGUUAUGUAGCCUUUUACUUCCUCCAUUUCGUUAGCAGCUUACAUCUUUUGUCGUCUGUCUUAUCCAUUCUAUAGGCAAUUGGACAUCUUGGAAGUACAAGAUCAUUUCCACAUCAAGCGUAUCAAGGAAAAUGGAAAUGAAAAUCUGUGCCUUUAGGAAACUACUCGUGGAAUUCAUUUAACUAACGAAGUUCAUUUUAUCAAGAUAAUGAUAGUUGUUGCUGGACUUAUGGAAGGGCUCAAAACCUAUGGUAGAUAAAAGAUUAAGGCAAUACUUCAAUUCUGCCUCUAUUGAUCACAGGGGUAGCAUGAUUCAACCCCUUUGUAGGACUUCAUUAUCUUAUAAUGCACCUCUUACAAAUUGUCUUAUAGUGGUGUUGGUGUUGGAGAUCCCAGGUGCUCUGCAGGUUCCAAGUCCUUCGGCACCCCCAGAUGUGGUUCACCGUAUGAACCAAGCUCUUAGACCUCAACAUGGAACUUUUGUGAUGUAAGUUGUACCAUAUAACAGAGCGAAUUCCCCUUGUUCGGACUUUCAAGGGUUUCUUUUGACUGCUUGAGAGGUUUGCUUGAGAUCUUUAACUAAAAGCACAAUCUUUUUAUUAAGCAUAAAGUGAAGAUUGAUAUGAAAUAUGGAUCCGAGGCUUCAUGAACUUUCGCAUACUCUUUUAUAUAGAUUUGAUGAAAUAUAUGACAGUAAUAUGAGAAGAAUGUUUUAUAUGGACAUCACUUCACUCCUAAAUCCAGUCCUAUCAUUCUAAUUAUGUAUGUGUGUGUGCCCCUUUCCGAAACUGGAUAUAUUAGAUGCAUUUUUGUAGGGGUCUCGAUAGCUCUAGCUGUACUUUUUUCUCGUUGCACUACAUGUCUCUACAAGGUGAGGUUCAAACUAUAUAAAUAGAAACAUAA